GAUGAACGCUGGCGGCGUGCCUAAUACAUGCAAGUCGAGCGAACAGAUAAGGAGCUUGCUCCUUUGACGUUAGCGGCGGACGGGUGGGUAACACGUGGGUAACCUACCUAUAAGACUGGAAUAACUCCGGGAAACCGGGGCUAAUGCCGGAUAACAUUUAGAACCGCAUGGUUCUAAAGUGAAAGAUGGUUUUGCUAUCACUUAUAGAUGGACCCGCGCCGUAUUAGCUAGUUGGUAAGGUAACGGCUUACCAAGGCAACGAUACGUAGCCGACCUGAGAGGGUGAUCGGCCACACGGGAACUGAGAGACGGUCCAGACUCCUACGGGAGGCAGCAGUAGGGAAUCUUCCGCAAUGCGCGAAAGCCUGACGGAGCAACGCCGCGUGAGUGAUGAAGGUCUUCGGAUCGUAAAACUCUGUUAUUAGGGAAGAACAAAUGUGUAAGUAACUGUGCACGUCUUGACGGUACCUAAUCAGAAAGCCAGGGCUAACUACGUG
rnacentral:rRNA from 1 species